rnacentral:rRNA from 1 species
AACGUCGUGAGACAGUUCGGUCCCUAUCUGCCGUGGGCGUUGGAGAAUUGAGGGAAGCUGCUCCUAGUACGAGAGGACCGGAGUGGACGAACCUCUGGUGUUCCGGUUGUGACGCCAGUCGCAUUGCCGGGUAGCUACGUUCGGAAAGGAUAACCGCUGAAAGCAUCUAAGCGGGAAGCCCCUCCCAAGACUAGUUCUCCCCGACCCCUUGAGGGUCCUGAAGAGCCGUCCAAGACUAGGACGUUGAUAGGCUGGGUGUGGAAGCGCUGUGAGGCGUUGAGCUAACCAGUACUAAUUGCUCGUGCGGCUUGACCAU